UCCCUUGGCACGCAGGAUUAUAUGGUUACAGGUUUUGGGGACAACAGGUCCAGAUUUCUGCUGAAGUAUCAGUGAUGCUUUCCUGCCUCUGGGCAGCAGCUGUUUAGGAGUUACCUGUGCUUUGAUGGGAAAGUGGUAUGAAGACAUCAUGUUCCACCAGAGGAUUCUAUGGCCAGAGGUUUUCAGAUAACAUUGCAGGAUCAGUGUAACUUAGGUGAAGGACAUGGCUAAAGUCUCUUGAAACUUUGAGAUAAUUUGAAGACUUGCUUUCUGAUGUCUCCAAAUGCAGAUGGUGGUUUAUUAUCUGCCCUUUUCUGCAUCUCUUAAGAAGGUCUCCAAAGGCUUUUUAGAGUGGUCACUCUGCAGCACCAGCACUGUUACUUCUAUCACCUCAGGCAGAGCUCCUCACUGAUCCUUCCUCCUGGAGUGGCCUCUCACUUUACAGCCCUCUGAACUAUCAUCAGAUCCUCACCUAGCACUGUGCACCAA